GAGGUUGCCGGGGAGGCUGGAAGAGGUAGGAGGGACUUGCUCCCUCCCACGUCCUCUCAGAGUCACCUAGCAACGGCCCCUCACCCCACAGUGGCAGUUGCUUCCAGUAGCAACAGUUGGUUCUAGUUUCUGGGGGCUUUUCCCAGAGGCUCAGAACCAGGCUCAUCAGGAUCCCUCAGAAACACCAGCAUCAGCUGCUGGGGCCCCUCCUCAGAGACCCAGCUCUGUCAAAUCCUACUCAGCCCCUGAGAUGCCAGAAAGAGUGGCAGCACCACUCUUCAGGGGCCCCAGCUGGUUUCAGGGAGAUACCUGGGCUCCAAGGGAACCAGCACUGCCUGGAGGUGCCUGUUCUGCAGACGUGUGAGCCCCAGCUCUGUGGGGACCCUCUGAGCAUCUAAGGGACCACCACCAAAUGCAAGCAGGGCCCGCUCUUCAGAGGCCCUAAGACAGAGAAUUCCGGUCAGAAAACAGAAACAGAAAAGUCCAAGAGCG